rnacentral:rRNA from 1 species
GAUGAACGCUGGCGGCGUGCUUAACACAUGCAAGUCGAACGGUGAAAGAGGGAGCUUGCUCCUUCUGGAUCAGUGGCGAACGGGUGAGUAACACGUGAGUAACCUGCCCUUGACUCUGGGAUAAGCGUUGGAAACGACGUCUAAUACCGGAUACGAGCUUCAGCCGCAUGGCUAGGAGCUGGAAAGAAUUUCGGUCAAGGAUGGACUCGCGGCCUAUCAGCUAGUUGGUGAGGUAAUGGCUCACCAAGGCGACGACGGGUAGCCGGCCUGAGAGGGUGACCGGCCACACUGGGACUGAGACACGGCCCAGACUCCUACGGGAGGCAGCAGUGGGGAAUAUUGCACAAUGGGCGCAAGCCUGAUGCAGCAACGCCGCGUGAGGGACGACGGCCUUCGGGUUGUAAACCUCUUUUAGUAGGGAAGAAGCGAAAGUGACGGUACCUGCAGAAAAAGCACCGGCUAACUACGUGCCAGCCGCCGCCGUAAUAC